UACAGAGGGUGCGAGCGUUAAUCGGAAUUACUGGGCGUAAAGCGUGCGUAGACGGCUAUCUAAGUCGGGUGUGAAAGCCCCGGGCUCAACCUGGGAAUUGCAUUCGAGACUGAAUAGCUAGGGUACGGUAGAGGGAAGCGGAAUUUCCGGUGUAGCGGUGAAAUGCGUAGAUAUCGGAAGGAACAUCAGUGGCGAAGGCGGCACUCUGGGCCAGUACUGACACUGAGGAGCGAAAGCGUGGGGAGCGAACAGG
rnacentral:rRNA from 1 species